rnacentral:tRNA from 1 species
GCACUCGUAGCUCAGCUGGAUAGAGCGCCGGACUUCGAAUCCGUAGGUCGCAGGUUCGAAUCCUGCCGAGUGUA